UGAAAGGCUCCCUGCGCUCGCUGCGAACGAAGUGGUGUUUCGCGCAUCUAUUUUUACCGUGUUUAUCAAUAUUACGUGCGGUUAUCGUUGUUGAAUGAACACGUACUACUUACAUCGCGUGUCGGGACGUUCGGGUCGUUGUUUGACAUGGAAUCGACGGCGGCGAUGCGUCGUCGUGGCACCAACCAACGGACGCGAGCUUUGAACAAGAGCGCAAGCGCGGGCCGUUUGACGAGACAGUCGCCGCAGCGGAUACAACACCUCGCUCAAGAGACUGAAGUGGUGGACAGCUUGCUGUGAAAGAUGGAAGCGUUCUUCCUGCAAGUCUGGACAAGGCCAUAUUAAAUGGCUUCAUCUGUCACAAAUCGCUGGCCACGAAUGUAAAG